rnacentral:rRNA from 1 species
CCUACGGGAGGCUGCAGUGGGGAAUAUUGCACAAUGGGCGCAAGCCUGAUGCAGCCAUGCCGCGUGUGUGAAGAAGGCCUUCGGGUUGUAAAGCACUUUCAGCGGGGAGGAAGGCGGUGAGGUUAAUAACCUCAUCGAUUGACGUUACCCGCAGAAGAAGCACCGGCUAACUCCGUGCCAGCAGCCGCGGUAAUACGGAGGGCGCAAGCGUUAAUCGGAAUUACUGGGCGUAAAGCGCACGCAGGCGGUCUGUCAAGUCGGAUGUGAAAUCCCCGGGCUCAACCUGGGAACUGCAUUCGAAACUGGCAGGCUAGAGUCUUGUAGAGGGGGGUAGAAUUCCAGGUGUAGCGGUGAAAUGCGUAGAGAUCUGGAGGAAUACCGGUGGCGAAGGCGGCCCCCUGGACAAAGACUGACGCUCAGGUGCGAAAGCGUGGGGAGCAAACAGGAUUAGAUACCCGAGUAGUC